rnacentral:tRNA from 1 species
GCACUCUUCGUCUAGUGGACCAGGACAAUACUUUUUCACAGUAUAAACGCGGGUUCAAUUCCCGCAGAGUGUGCCA